UUUUGGACAAUGGGCGCAAGCCUGAUCCAGCAAUGCCGCGUGAGUGGAGAAGGCCUUCGGGUUGUAAAGCUCUUUUGUCAGGGAAGCAACGGUGAGCUCUAAUACAGUUUGCUAAUGACGGUACCUGAAGAAUAAGCACCGGCUAACUACGUGCCAGCAGCCGCGGUAAUACGUAGGGUGCAAGCGUUAAUCGGAAUUACUGGGCGUAAAGCGUGCGCAGGCGGUUAUGUAAGUCAGAUGUGAAAUCCCCGGGCUCAACCUGGGAAUGGCAUUUGAGACUGCAUGGCUAGAGUGUGUCAGAGGGGGGUAGAAUUCCACGUGUAGCAGUGAAAUGCGUAGAGAUGUGGAGGAAUACCGAUGGCGAAGGCAGCCCCCUGGGAUAACACUGACGCUCAGCACGAA
rnacentral:rRNA from 1 species